rnacentral:rRNA from 1 species
GAGUUUGAUCCUGGCUCAGAAUCAACGCUGGCGGCGUGCCUAACACAUGCAAGUCGAACGCGACUGAGGGCUUCGGUCCUCAGUUGAGUGGCGAACGGGUGAGUAACACGUGGGUGAUCUACCUCUGAGUGGGGGAUAACGUUCCGAAAGGAGCGCUAAUACCGCAUGACGUCCUGGGUUUGAAGACCUGGAAACCAAAGUCGGGGACCGCAAGGCCUGACGCUUGGAGAGGAGCCCGCGCCUGAUUAGCUAGUUGGUGGGGUAAUGGCCUACCAAGGCGACGAUCAGUAGCCGGCCUGAGAGGGCGGACGGCCACACUGGGACUGAGACACGGCCCAGACUCCUACGGGAGGCAGCAGUGGGGAAUUGUUCGCAAUGGGCGCAAGCCUGACGACGCAACGCCGCGUGGAGGAUGAAGGUCUUCGGAUUGUAAACUCCUGUUGAUCGGGAAGAAUGGACUCCGGGUUAAUACUCCGGGGUAUUGACGGUACCGAUUGAGGAAGCCACGGCUAACUCUGUGCCAGCAGCCGCGGUAAUACAGAGGUGGCAAGCGUUGUUCGGAAUUACUGGGCGUAAAGGGCGCGUAGGCGGUCGCCUAAGUCGGACGUGAAAUCCCCAAGCUUAACUUGGGAACUGCGUCCGAUACUGGGUGACUUGAGUUCGGGAGAGGAAUGUGGAAUUCCAGGUGUAGCGGUGAAAUGCGUAGAUAUCUGGAGGAACACCGGUGGCGAAAGCGGCAUUCUGGACCGAAACUGACGCUGAGGCGCGAAAGCCAGGGGAGCAAACGGGAUUAGAUACCCCGGUAGUCCUGGCCCUAAACGAUGAGUGCUUGGUGUGCGGGUAUCGAUCCCUGCCG